AAUGAACGCUGGCGGCGCGCCUAAUACAUGCAAGUCGAGCGAGAAGACGUAGCAAUACGUUUGUAAAGCGGCGAACGGGUGAGGAAUACAUGGGUAACCUACCCUCGAGUGGGGAAUAACUAGCCGAAAGGUUAGCUAAUACCGCGUACGCUUCUUGGACUUCGGUUCAGGGAGGAAAGCGAUACCGUGGGUAUCGCGCUCUUGGAUGGGCUCAUGUCCUAUCAGCUUGNGGUGAGGUAACGGCUCACCAAGGCUUCGACGGGUAGCUGGUCUGAGAGGACGAUCAGCCACACUGGCACUGCGACACGGGCCAGACUCCUACGGGAGGCAGCAGUAAGGAUAUUGCGCAAUGGGCGAAAGCCUGACGCAGCGACGCCGCGUGGGGGAUGAAGGUCUUCGGAUUGUAAACCCCUUUCGGG
rnacentral:rRNA from 1 species